UCAAAGACGGCAGACACUUCGUCUCAUAUCGACAGUGAACUGAUAUCGUCUCCCCAAUAAAGACAUACAACGAGGAAGGUGAAAUAGCUCAAGCAAAUUAUCAGAAGAAGACCUCCAAAGCUGCAAUCGGUGAAAUUCACUAUAAGAAUUGGUACCACAAGGCCACAAAGGGAGGAGUUCAACUAAUUUGUGGAUGAUGUUCAAAGCUGAGGAGAGUGAGAGCUUAAAUCUAUAAAACGGGUCAAAAACGUUUGAUAAAGAAACUGUCAUAAAUUCUUCAGGUAAUUGAAAGAGGGCAAGUUGUACAAAAUGCCAUGGAGCUAAAUAUACAUGGAGAAGAAACUGUGAUGUCACACAGUUAAAUUCAGUAUUGGCAGAAUUGUGUUCUUAUAAGUUAUCAUAUGUUGCGGGAUUUUCAGAGACUUGAUGCAUCCUGGGUAAAAAUAGCCAAAACACCGUCAUAUUGGAUUCCCUGAGGAAGAUGAAACAUUUCUUUGCUUAAAUAGAAAGCAACAUAGUUAUUUAUUGUAAAAGGUACUAUACACACUUUUCUAUACAAAUAUUUCUCUGAUGAAAAUCUAUGUCGGGGUAUGUAAACAAUAAUUCAUGGAUAUCGUCCAAGUUUAACGAUAGUGCGAAAAUUGGAGACUAUCGAGAAAACCCAAUUAUCACCAAAGCCUGCAAAGGAUUGUGGGUCUAAAUCUGACUAUUAUCUAUUUUUAGAGCUUCCUAUCUGUUGUAUAUAUAUAUAUAUAUCUGUGAAAAUGCAAAGAAGUCGUUGGAUUACCAAAGAUCAACAUUUCAU